rnacentral:rRNA from 1 species
GUCGUGCGGACCUUUUAAAAGCUUGCUUUUAAAAGGUUAGCGGCGGACGGGUGAGUAACACGUGGGCAACCUGCCUGUAAGAUCGGGAUAACGCCGGGAAACCGGGGCUAAUACCGGAUAGUUUUUUCCUCCGCAUGGAGGAAAAAGGAAAGACGGCUUCGGCUGUCACUUACAGAUGGGCCCGCGGCGCAUUAGCUUGUUGGUGGGGUAACGGCUCACCAAGGCAACGAUGCGUAGCCGACCUGAGAGGGUGAUCGGCCACAUUGGGACUGAGACACGGCCCAAACUCCUACGGGAGGCAGCAGUAGGGAAUCUUCCGCAAUGGACGAAAGUCUGACGGAGCAACGCCGCGUGAGUGAAGAAGGCCUUCGGGUCGUAAAACUCUGUUGCCGGGGAAGAACAAGUGCCGUUCGAACAGGGCGGCGCCUUGACGGUACCCGGCUAGAAAGCCACGGCUAACUAC